UGGGGAAUAUUGCACAAUGGGCGCAAGCCUGAUGCAGCCAUGCCGCGUGUGUGAAGAAGGCCUUCGGGUUGUAAAGCACUUUCAGCGAGGAGGAAGGUGGUGGACUUAAUACGUUCAUCAAUUGACGUUACUCGCAGAAGAAGCACCGGCUAACUCCGUGCCAGCAGCCGCGGUAAUACGGAGGGUGCAAGCGUUAAUCGGAAUUACUGGGCGUAAAGCGCACGCAGGCGGUUUGUUAAGUCAGAUGUGAAAUCCCCGGGCUCAACCUGGGAACUGCAUUUGAAACUGGCAAGCUAGAGUCUCGUAGAGGGGGGUAGAAUUCCAGGUGUAGCGGUGAAAUGCGUAGAGAUCUGGAGGAAUACCGGUGGCGAAGGCGGCCCCCUGGACGAAGACUGACGCUCAGGUGCGAAAGCGUGGGGAGCAAACGGGAUUAGAUACCCUGGUAGUCCACGCUGUAAACGAUGUCGAUUUGGAGGUUGUGCCCUUGAGGCGUGGCUUCCGGAGCUAACGCGUUAAAUCGACCGCCUGGGGAGUACGGCCGCAAGGUUAAAACUCAAAUGAAUUGAC
rnacentral:rRNA from 1 species